rnacentral:rRNA from 1 species
GACUACAUGAAGCUGGAAUCGCUAGUAAUCGCGGAUCAGAAUGCCGCGGUGAAUACGUUCCCGGGUCUUGUACACACCGCCCGUCACACCAUGGGAGUCGGAAAUGCCCGAAGUCUGUGACCCAACCAUUAAGGAGGGAGCAGCCGAAGGCAGGUCGGAUGACUGGGGUGAAGUCGUAACAAGGUAAC